CCGGCGACCGGCGCACGGUGAGUAACACGUAUGCAACCUGGCCGCCACAGGGGAUAACCCGCGGAAACGCGGCCUAAUACCCCGUGACGCCACCGGAGGGCAUCCUCCGGGUGGCCAAAGGAGCGAUCCGGUGGCGGAUGGGCAUGCGGCGCAUUAGCUAGACGGCGGGGUGACGGCCCACCUAACCGACGAUGCGUAGGGGUUCUGAGAGGAAGGUCCCCCACACUGGUACUGAGACACGGACCAGACUCCUACGGAAGGCAGCAG
rnacentral:rRNA from 1 species